rnacentral:ribozyme from 12 species
UUUCUUCUUCUUUUUUUUGUCUUUAAUCAUUAUUAUAUACAAACAAAAAACAAAAAAAAAGUUUUUUAAAAAAUU